rnacentral:rRNA from 1 species
CCUACGGGAGGCAGCAGUAAGGAAUAUUGGACAAUGGGCGAAAGCCUGAUCCAGCCAUGCCGCGUGAAGGAUUAAGGUCCUCUGGAUUGUAAACUUCUUUUAUCUGGGACGAAAAAAGGGAAUUCUUUCCCACUUGACGGUACCAGGUGAAUAAGCACCGGCUAACUCCGUGCCAGCAGCCGCGGUAAUACGGAGGGUGCAAGCGUUAUCCGGAUUCACUGGGUUUAAAGGGUGCGUAGGCGGGUAGGUAAGUCAGUGGUGAAAUCCUGGAGCUUAACUCCAGAACUGCCAUUGAUACUAUUUAUCUUGAAUAUUGUGGAGGUUUGCGGAAUAUGUCAUGUAGCGGUGAAAUGCUUAGAUAUGACAUAGAACACCUAUUGCGAAGGCAGCAGGCUACACAUAUAUUGACGCUGAGGCACGAAAAGCGUGGGGAUCAAACAGGAUUAGAUACCCUGGUAGUCCACGCCCUAAACUAUGGAUACUCGACAUACGCGAUACACUGUGUGUGUNUGAGAGAAAGACGAUUAAAGUUAAGUACCACCUAACGGGUAAGGUAACGUUACCGACGAAGGUUAGGUUAAACGUUAAAAGGUUAAAGUUAGUUACGGCGUUGAGACGNGCGACGGACGACGACGAGGGAGGAGGAG